rnacentral:rRNA from 1 species
GAUGAACGCUAGCGGCAGGCCUAACACAUGCAAGUCGAGGGGUAGAAGCUUUCGGGCUUUGAGACCGGCGCACGGGUGCGUAACGCGUAUGCAAUCUGCCUUGUACUGAGGGAUAGCCCAGAGAAAUUUGGAUUAACACCUCAUAGUAUUUUUGCCUGGCAUCAGGUGAUUAUUAAAGGUUACGGUACAAGAUGAGCAUGCGUCCCAUUAGCUAGUUGGUAUGGUGACGGCAUACCAAGGCUACGAUGGGUAGGGGUCCUGAGAGGGAGAUCCCCCACGCUGGUACUGAGACACGGACCAGACUCCUACGGGAGGCAGCAGUGAGGAAUAUUGGUCAAUGGGCGCAAGCCUGAACCAGCCAUGCCGCGUGCAGGAUGAAGCAUCUAUGGUGUGUAAACUGCUUCUGUACGGGAAGAAACACUGCUACGUGUAGCAGCUUGACGGUACCGUAAGAAUAAGGAUCGGCUAACUCCGUGCCAGCCGCCGCCGUAACAC